rnacentral:rRNA from 1 species
GCCCGACUUCGGUUGGGUGGAGAGUGGCGAACGGGUGAGUAACACGUUGGUGACCUGCCCUGAAGCGGGGGACAACCAGUGGAAACGCUGGCUAAUACCCCGUAAGCUUGACCUGGUUAGAGAGGGUCAAGGGAAGGAGUGAUCCGCUUUAGGAGGGGCCAGCGGGCUAUCAGCUAGUUGGUGGGGUAAAGGCCUACCAAGGCGAGGACGGCUAGGGGGCGUGAGAGCGUGACCCCCCACAAUGGGACUGAGACACGGCCCAUACUCCUACGGGAGGCAGCAGUGAGGAAUAUUGCACAAUGGGGGCAACCCUGAUGCAGCAAUGCCGCGUGAGCGAAGAAGGCCUUCGGGUUGUAAAGCUCUUUUCUGGGUGACGAGAGAGGACGGUAACCCAGGAAUAAGUCCCGGCUAACAGGGUGCCAGCAGCCGCGGUAAUACCUUGGGGACGAGCGUUAUCCGGAAUCAUUGGGCGUAAAGCGCAUGUAGGCGGUUUAGCAAGUUGGUUGUGAAAGCUCAUGGCUUAACUGUGAGAGGUCAGCCAAAACUGCUAGACUUGAGCGAGGUAGAGGAGAGCGGAAUUCCCGGUGUAGUGGUGGAAUGCGUAGAGAUCGGGAGGAACACCAGUGGCGAAAGCGGCUCUCUGGACCUUGACUGACGCUGAGAUGCGAAAGCGUGGGGAGCGAACGGGAUUAGAUACCCCGGUAGUCCACGCUGUAAACGAUGGAUACU